GCUCGUGUCGUGAGAUGUCGGUUAAGUCCGGCAACGAGCGCAACCCACAUCCUAGUUGCCAGCAGUUCGGCUGGGCACUCUAAGGAAACUGCCCGUGAUAAGCGGGAGGAAGGUGUGGAUGACGUCAAGUCCUCAUGGCCCUUACGGGUUGGGCUACACACGUGCUACAAUGGCAGUGACAAUGGGUUAAUCCCCAAAAGCCAUCUCAGUUCGGAUUGUCCUCUGCAACUCGAGGGCAUGAAGUUGAAAUCGCUAGUAAUCGCGGAACAGCAUGCCGCGGUGAAUACGUUCCCGGGCCUU
rnacentral:rRNA from 1 species